GACGAACGCUGGCGGCGUGCUUAACACAUGCAAGUCGAACGGAAAGGCCCUGCUUUUGUGGGGUGCUCGAGUGGCGAACGGGUGAGUAACACGUGAGUAACCUGCCCGUGACUUUGGGAUAACUUCAGGAAACUGGGGCUAAUACCGGAUAGGAGUUCCUGCGGCAUGGUGGGGGUUGGAAAGUUUCGGCGGUUGGGGAUGGACUCGCGGCUUAUCAGCUUGUUGGUGGGGUAGUGGCUUACCAAGGCUUUGACGGGUAGCCGGCCUGAGAGGGUGACCGGCCACAUUGGGACUGAGAUACGGCCCAGACUCCUACGGGAGGCAGCAGUGGGGAAUAUUGCACAAUGGGCGGAAGCCUGAUGCAGCAACGCCGCGUGCGGGAUGACGGCCUUCGGGUUGUAAACCGCUUUCGCCUGUGACGAAGCGUGAGUGACGGUAAUGGGUAAAGAAGCACCGGCUAACUACGUG
rnacentral:rRNA from 1 species